rnacentral:rRNA from 1 species
CCUGGUUGAUCCUUCCAGUAGUCAUAUGCUUGUCUCAAAUAUUAAGCCAUGCAUGUCUAAGUAUGAACUAAUUCAAAUUGUGAAACUACAGAUGGAUCAUUAAAUCAGUUAUAGUUUUUUUGAUGGUACCAUUCUACUUAGGCAACCAUAGUAAUUCUGGAGAUAAUACGUGCACCAAGUUCCAACUCUUUGGGAGGGAUGCAUUUUUUAGAUAAAAGGCCAGUGCGGGGUUUCCUGCUUCUCCAGUGAAUCAUGAUAACUCGAUGGAUCGCGCGGCCCUUGUGCUAGCAAUGCUUCAUUCAAAUUUAUGCCCUAUCAACUUUCAAUGGUAGGAUAGAGGCUUACCAUGGUGGUUGGCUUACCAUGGUGGUGAUGGGCGACAGAUAAUUAGGGUUCGAUUCUAGAGAUGGAGCCUGAGAAAUGGCUAUUACAUCCAAGGAAGGAAGCAAGCAUGCAAAUUACCCAAUCUUGACAUGGGGAGGUAGUGACAAUAAAUAACAAUAUUGGGCUCAUAAAGUCUGGUAAUUGGAAUGAGUACAAUCUAAAUCACUUAACGAGGAUCCAUUGGAGGGAAAGUCUGGUGCCAACAUCCAUGGUCAUUCUAGCUCUAACUUGAAUUGUUGCAGUUAAAAAGCUUGUAGUUGGAUCUUGGGUUGUAAAGGUUGGUCUACCUACUCGGUGUGCACCUGCCCUUCUAUCCCUUUUGUCGGAGGUGUCCUCCUGGCCUUAAUUGGCCAAGUCUGAAUGCAUUAGCAUGGAAUAACGUGAUAGGAGUAUGGUCCUAUUGUGUUGUCCUCUGGGACCAAAGUAAUGAUUAAUAGGGACUAUCGGGGGCAUUCGUAUUUCAUUUUCAAAGGUGAAAUUCUUGGAUUUAUGAAAGACAAACCACUAUGAAAGCAUUUUCCAAGGAUGUUUUCAUUAAUCAAGAACGAAAGUUGGGGGAUAGAAGAAAAUAAAAUACCAUCCUAGUCUCAACCAUAAACGAUGCUGAAUAGGGAUCGACGGAUGUUUCUCUAAGGACUUCGCCAGCAGCUUUUGAGAUUGAACACCAAGAGUGGUGCUUGCGGCUUAAUUUGACUCAACACAGGGAAACUUACCAGGUCCAUACAUAGUAAGGAUUGACAGAUUGAGAGCUCUUUCUUGAUUCUAUGGGUGGUCGUCCAUGGUUGUUCUUAGUUGGUGGAGCGAUUUUUCUGGUUAAUUCUGAUAACGGAGGAGACCUCAGCUUGCUAACUAGCUACGUGGAGGUUCCCCUUCAUAGCCAAUGUCUUAGAGGGAAUAUGGCUAUUUAUGCCAUGGAAUUUUGAGGCAAUAAUAGGUAUAUUAUGACCUUAGAUGUUUUGGGCCGUACACACACUACACUGAUACAUCCAAUGAGUUUCUCUUCCUAGUUCGAGAGGAUCAGUAAGUCUUCUCAAAUUGCAUUGUGAUGGGGAUAGACCAUUGUAAUUAUUAGUCUUCAACAAGGAAUUCCUAGUAAGCAUGUGUCAUCAACUCAUGUUGACUACAUCCCAACCCUUUGUACACACUGCCCGUUGCCCCUACUGAUUUAAUGAUCCAGUGAAGUGUUCAGAUUGAGUCGACAAUGGUCAUUCAUUGCCAUUGACAUCGUGAGAAGUUUAUUGAACCUUACCAUUUAGAGGAAGGAGAAUUCAUAACAAGGUUACCAUAGGUGAACCUACAGUAG